GCCGGGUUGGCCGAGCGGCAUAGGCAGCGGGCUGCAGACCCGUGGACGGGGGUUCGAAUCCCCCACCCGGCU
rnacentral:tRNA from 3 species